AAACCUGAGAGUUUGAUCCUGGCUCAGAACGAACGCUGGCGGCAGGCCUAACACAUGCAAGUCGAACGCACCGCAAGGUGAGUGGCGCACGGGUGAGUAACACGUGGGAAUGUAUCCUUUGGUUCGGAAUAACGUUUGGAAACGAACGCUAAUACCGGAUGAGCCCUACGGGGGAAAGAUUUAUCGCCAAAGGAGCAGCCC
rnacentral:rRNA from 1 species